rnacentral:rRNA from 1 species
GAUUAACGCUGGCGGCGUGCCUAACACAUGCAAGUCGAGCGGCAGCGCGUUUUACACUGUCUUCUGGAAGCUUCUAGUUGAAAGAGAAGAUUUAUUCAAGAAUUUUGUGUAAAAUGUCGGCGAGCGGCGGACGGCUGAGUAACGCGUGGGAACGUACCCCAAAGUGAGGGAUAACGCAUCGAAAGGUGUGCUAAUACCGCAUAUGGUCUUCGGAUUAAAGCCUUCGGGCGCUUUGGGAACGGCCUGCGUAAGAUUAGAUAGUUGGUGGGGUAAUGGCCUACCAAGGCGACAAUCGUUAACUGGUAUGAGAGGAUGAUCAGUCAGACUGGAACUGAGACACGGUCCAGACUCCUACGGGAGGCAGCAGUGAGGAAUCUUCCACAAUGGGCGAAAGCCUGAUGGAGCAACGCCGCGUGCAGGAUGAAGGCCUUCGGGUUGUAAACUGCUUUUAUAAGUGAGGAUUAUGACAGUAACUUAUGAAUAAGGAUCGGCUAACUACGUG